rnacentral:rRNA from 1 species
AUUGAACGCUGGCGGCAGGCCUAACACAUGCAAGUCGAACGAGUUGCGGACGGGUUAGUAAUGUCUGGGAAACUGCCUGAUGGAUGGGGAUAACUACUGGAAACGGUAGCUAAUACCGCAUACCAUCAGAUGUGCCCAUAUGGGAUUAGCUGGUAGGUGGGGUAACUGCUCACCAAGGCGCCGAUCCCUAGCUGGUCUGAGAGGAUGACCAGCCACACUGUAACUGAGACACGGUCCAGACUCCUACGGGAGGCAGCAGUGGGGAAUAUUGCACAAUGGGCGCAAGCCUGAUGCAGCCAUGCCGCGUGUAUGAAGAAGGCCUUCGGGUUGUAAAGUACUUUCAGCGGGGAGGCGUUACCCGCAGAAGAAGCACCGGCUAACUCCGUGCCAGCAGCCGCGGUAAUUC